UCUCAGGUAUUGGCUACUAGUAUUCAUUGCACAAGUUGCUGUGUCAUAUUGAACUCUUGGUUUGUUGACUUACCGGUCUGAUACUUGCGUUCUUAUAACUCUUUGUGUAUAUUCAUUAGAAUUUCUCUGGACAUUUUCGACUUUUGCAUGGAGUACAAUUGUUUAUUUAUUUUCAACAUGUUGACUUUUUUCUACUUUGGCUACACUGUAAGAACAGAGCUACAGUUUUAGUCUUGUUGCUGGCUUUAGUACUGUUUCCACCUGACAAAUAAUGGAAGAGUUCCCUGCCUGAGAAUUUUCCUGUAUGAACUAUACUGUUAAAUGUAUAGAAAGUUUGACACAGGACACCAUGAGGACUGUCUGAUGAUUGGCUGUGGGUCUCUAAAACCCAGUGUUUCAUUGCCUGGAAGGCAGCAAGUGAUCUUCCAGCCAAAAAGUGGAAAGAAACAAUCCAACACCCUCUUCAAUGAAGUCUGCUCUGAACAAUCCUACAACCAAAGUCUGUCCUUGUUAUGACUGCCAGAAGCUGUGUUCAUGCAUUUCUGGAAGUAAAUGUUGGCCAUGAAGUCAGGGAUGUUAUUCACAGAGGAAAUUAUAUCAGCCAAAUUUAGGAAAGUUUAAAGCUCAUGACAUUUCCUGUUCUUUUAGGGAAAGCUUGUGUAUGUUAGAAUAUUUUUAAGAAUCAAGGAUCACUUUUGUUUCAAAAUAAUGUUUGUUCUUUGCCUCUAUUUAACUUCUGAUGUUGCUGUUACUUAUGUUUGAGGAAAGAGAUAUCAGAUUGAAGUUGAGUAGGGGGCACAGAUGUGGAAAAAUAUGCAAUCAAAAAACACAUCCCAUCUUAUGUUCUUAGUCUAUUGUGGAUGGACUGCUUGUGAUGUGUGAAAGGGCAGAAAAUCCAGGAAGCUGACUACUUGGGUGGGUGAAGGAAGAGAAAAGAAGAAAGAAGUCUGUUCAAAUAGAAUUGCAUGUUCAAUGUAAAAGCAGAGAAUAAAACCCCUAAAUUCCAAAUACUACCAAGAUUUAGUGCCAUUAUUUAAUUUAUUUGCAAAAAUGUGAUUGCUUUCUACAAGCAUCUUGGGAUGUUUAGAUUUAUAUCUGUGUUAUGUUGGUUCUGUAAAAAAGUAAAAAUUCUAAGCCAAGAAUAUUUUCAUGCUUCUAAUAAAGGCAAUGCAAAGUAUUCAACAUGAAGCCUAGUAGGCUAAAGAUGCAAAGGAGAAAAUUGAUAACUCUCCCUACAUUGCCUUCUUUUCACCUUCACACACUUUGGUCAUAGAGCUUGAGAACUGUCAUAGUCCAGAACUAAUGUGAAUUUUUUGUUCAGAGUAAUAAGAGAAACAUGACUUCCUUUGCUAAAUAUAACAUGUGUAGAUAUGCCUCUGCUCAUCUUCACGUAUAUGUAGUUGAAAGAAUGACUAGAAAGUGGUAGGUCUGGUUAUACAGCUUUGAGUCCUUGUUGAGUUGUAAACCUAAGAUUAUACUUUUAAGUAUCACCUAGCAUGUGGGUCAGCCACCAGUGAUCUCAAAGGACCAAAUAAAUAAAUAAACAAACAGCACAAGUGAUUUAUACUCCUGUCUUAAAUUCCAUCCUUAUUUUUCUGAAGCAGAUCCAUUGAUACUUAUAAAAGUGAUUGAUUAUAAGAAGAAAUUUUGGAAAAUCCUCACUUGAUGGAGAGAUGAAUAAAUAAAAAUUAAUAAAAAACGCUGAUUCCGAACUACCAAACUAGCAGUAUAAUAGUCAUGAUUUAUAAGAACCUUACAAGUAAGAACUUUUAUUGCAGUUCUAUACCUGAUACAAGAUUUCAAACAAGGUUUUAAAUGUGUGUUCUCCUUAGUUCUUUCUUCACAUCAUUUUUUUUUUCAGAUUUGCUGAAAUGUUGCUCAGUUCUGAGGAGCAGGGUGCUUGAUUCUCCUUGAAACAAAAGUUUCAGCUCUUUAUGUUUCAUAAAUUUAUUUUUAGAUUGAUGUUCAUGUGGACAUCAGCAUGCAGAACAAAAAUCGUUUAACAUAAAAAAGAAAAGAUCUUUUGGAUACAUCUGGGCUCAUAAUUGUCUCCCACCAAGAGCAGGAGGCUUUCUUCGUGUGUUUAUGGAUGUGUGCACUGUAUGUACAUGCGAUUGUACAGACACAGCUAUUGAUGAGCUUACGUGUGCAUGCAUCUUUGAAGACUUAAGGCUUAUAUGUGUACUUAUAUCACUCUUCCAUUUUAGUUUUACAGUGGCUCUCACUAAAUCUAGAACUGAAUGGCUAGCCAGCAAGACCCUAGGAUUCAUUGGCUUCCAACUUCCAUGGUCCCAAGCAUUAGGUUUCUGACAUAUGCUCCCAUGCCUAGCUCUUACUUGGGAAACUCCUAUGCUUAUUCUUGCAUAGUAAGCAGUUUUACCACUGGGCCAUCUCCUCAGUCAAAGUAGUAUACUAUCUAAGUAUUUUUGGUUUCUGUUUUAAAGAAAUUCCUGCAUAUUUUAUUUAGCCUAAAAUUAUUGAAUGAUUUUCAGUAAAGAAAAUUUGGAGAGCAUUGUAAUGCAACUUAUAGAUAAUGAUUUCCCCCCAUAAACUAACACUUCUUUUUGUUACAGUCCUAUUAUCUUUAGAAAGUAAAAGACUGAUGUAUUUUUUGUCAUCCUUUAUAUUGGUUUUCCAUUCUUUAUUCUACUAUGAUGCUAAAAUUAGAUUCAAGGCAUUGUAAUUAUGCCAUAAUUACCAUGAUCAUAUUUUUCUGUCAUUGAAAAUUAGCACCGAGUUUGAUUUUUCUCCAAAACUACAACAGCUGCUCUCUUUCUGUAGCUCUAUAGAUUAAUACCAGAGCAAGUAGGAAUGUACAAGCCAUCUUCCUAUGCUGGCAAGGGGUGUGCCGAACCCACUGUUUCAUUGAAGUUAAUUGUUUCCCAAAAUUAUCAUUUUUAUUGGUAAUUUUAUUGCAGAGGACCUACAUUUUCUCUAAUUACACUGCAAGCUGUUGUGUUCUUACCAUUCAGAAAUGGAAAAAAAAAACACCCUGAAAACUUCUACUUACAAACAAGAUGUAGAAAUGAAACCAGAGGAAAAAGAAGUGACUUUUUGAGGUCACUCAGCAAACUAGAAAGACAAGAUGUAAAUA